CCUACGGGUGGCUGCAGUGGGGAAUUUUGGACAAUGGGCGAAAGCCUGAUCCAGCAAUGCCGCGUGAGUGAAGAAGGCCUUCGGGUUGUAAAGCUCUUUUGUUUGGGAAGAAAUCCCUAAGGAUAAUACCCUUGGGGGAUGACGGUACCAAAAGAAUAAGCACCGGCUAACUACGUGCCAGCAGCCGCGGUAAUACGUAGGGUGCAAGCGUUAAUCAGAAUUACUGGAGGCGGUGUGUUCAGAGGCGGGUGAAAGCCCCGAGCUCAACGUGGGAACUGCACUUGUGACUGCAAGACUAGAGUGGGCCAGAGGGAGGUAGAAUUCCACGUGUAGCAGUGAAAUGCGUAGAUAUGUGGAGGAAUACCAGUGGCGAAGGCGGCCUCCUGGGAUAACACUGACGCUCAUGUACGAAAGCGUGGGGAGCAAACAGGAUUAGAUACCCUUGUAGUC
rnacentral:rRNA from 1 species